rnacentral:rRNA from 1 species
AAUCAACGCUGGCGGCGUGCCUAACACAUGCAAGUCGAACGCGAAAGCCCCUUCGGGGGUAAGUAGAGUGGCGUCCGGGUGAGUAACACGUAGGUAAUCUACCUUCGGGUGGGGAAUAACUCGCCGAAAGGCGAGCUAAUACCGCAUAAUGCAGCGGCACCUAAUGGUGAUUAGUUGUUAAAGCGGGGGAUCGUAAGACCUCGCGCCUGAAGAGGAGCCUGCGGCAGAUUAGCUAGUUGGGAGGUAAUGGCUCACCAAGGCUUCGAUCUGUAGCUGGUCUGAGAGGGCGCACGGCCACACUGGAACUGAAACACGGUCCAGACUCCUACGGGAGGCAGCAGUGGGGAAUUUUGCGCAAUGGGGGAAACCCUGACGCAGCAACGCCGCGUGGAGGAUGAAGUCCCUUGGGACGUAAACUCCUUUCGACCGGGACGAUAAUGACGGUACCGGUGGAAGAAGCCCCGGCUAACUUCGUGCCAGCCGCCGCUGUAAC